rnacentral:rRNA from 1 species
UACAGAGGUCUCAAGCGUUGUUCGGAUUCAUUGGGCGUAAAGGGUGUGUAGGUGGCGCGCUAAGUCGGGUGUGAAAUUUCGGAGCUUAACUCCGAAACUGCAUUCGAUACUGGCGUGCUUGAGGACUGGAGAGGAGACUGGAAUUCAUGGUGUAGCAGUGAAAUGCGUAGAUAUCGAGAGGAACACCUGCGGCGAAGGCGGGUUGCUGGGCUGACACUGACGCUGAAGCGCGAAAGCUAGGGGAGCGAACGGG